GAUGUGGUGCAUUCUGGGGUCCAAUGGCUGUAUUACAUUAUGGGAGCCUAAAGAGCCAUGACCAAAAGUCCAAGGGCUGCAGGACACUGCCUGCCAGACAUGACAACAAUGACAGAAUAUGCAGUGUCCUGGGUGAUAUUUAGAAAACUUCUGCGGACGGAACUCGCUAGGGACAGCAACCAGCCCACAGCCCAGUGAUGAGGAAUAGAGAAGUGCACUGAAAAUACCUACCCCCCUUUUUUUUUUUUACAUUUGUAUAUAUGUUUUAUAUUGUUAAGUUAAGCUUCUGAGCUGCAGCAUUUUCAGUAAAGUUUUAUUUUUGCUCUAUA